rnacentral:lncRNA from 1 species
CCUCGUAUCCAAUCAUACUAAUAUAAUCCUUGUGUGGUUUUCCUUCUUCAGCUAGAUUCCUCCUAUCCAAAAUCUACAUCCAGGAAUACCUAUACUCCAUAUCUCUUUCCAAACAAUGUGACAGAAGGUCACAGCAAAAUUUGCAAUUAGUAUGAUACCUAACAUCUAAAUUUCCAUUAUUCACAUUAAGCUACCUAUCCAGAACAAGGUUAACUCUAAUGUUGUCCUAUUAAACAAGUCAAGUGCUUCUGUAAAAGCCAGGCAAUACCAUCACCUAUGGUACGAGUAUCAAAUUUACAGCCAUUG